rnacentral:rRNA from 1 species
UACGGGGGGGGCAAGCGUUGUUCGGAAUUACUGGGCGUAAAGGGCUCGUAGGCGGCCAACUAAGUCAUACGUGAAAUCCCUCGGCUUAACCGGGGAACUGCGUCUGAUACUGGAUGGCUUGAGUUCGGGAGAGGGAUGCGGAAUUCCAGGUGUAGCGGUGAAAUGCGUAGAUAUUGGGAAGAACACCGGUGGCGAAGGCGGCUCUCUGGACCGACACUGACGCUGAGGCGCGAAAGCGUGGGGAGCAAACAGG